rnacentral:rRNA from 1 species
GACGGAGCAUGCCGCGUGUAGGAUGAAGCCUCUAGGGGUGUAAACUACUGYCAGRGAACAGGAAUAAUGACCACGCCCAAAGGAAGAGCCGGCUAACUCUGUGCCAGCAGCCGCGGUAAUACAGAGGGCUCGAGCGUUAAUCGGAACCACUGGGCUUAAAGGGUCCGCAGGCGGAUUAGCAAGUAUCUUGUGAAAUCCCACGGCUCAACCGUGGAACUGCUCGAUAAACUGCUAAUCUUGAGCACACUAGAGGCAACCGGAACAGUAGGUGGAGCGGUGAAAUGCGUAGAUAUCUACUGGAACGCCAACGGAGAAGUCAGGUUGCUGGGGUGUUGCUGACGCUCAGGGACGAAAGCGUAGGUAGCGAACGGGAUUAGAUACCCCGGUAGUYUWCGCCGUAAACGAUGUGUACUAGUCAGUGGAGGUUUUGACGCCAUCACUGACGAAGCUAACGUGUUUAGUACACCGCCUGGGGAGUACGGUCGCAAGGCUAAAACUCAAAGGAAUUGACGGGGGCUCACACAAGCGGUGGAGCAUGUGGCUUAAUUCGAAGCAACGCGAAGAACCUUACCUGGGUUUGACAUGCAUGGAUUAGUUCUCCGAAAAGAGAAUGACGCCCUCGGGUGGAACAUGCACAGGUGCUGCAUGGCUGUCGUCAGCUCGUGCUGUGAAGUGUCGGGUUAAGUCCCUUAACGAGCGAAACCCCUGUCGUUAGUUGCC